CUCUGUUUCUUUUGUAAUUUUAAUGGUACACACUAUUGGUGCUAUAAAUACGUUCAAAAUAUUUUGAAGUUGCAGUUUUAUUAUAUGACUCUUGAUUUAAAGAUGACAAAAAUUUUAUUUGUUGUCCCUCAGAUAACCUAUAAGAAAAUUAAUAGAAAACUUGCCCUUCCUAGUUAAUUUGGCUGGAUUUUUAUUUUAAUGAAACCUAUCUGUUGUCUUACUCUCCUGUAACAGCAGAAGGAGAAAUACUUGCAGGUAGCAUGUCUUCAUUUUCUAUCCAUCCUCGGAAAGGCCAAAACUGGUUCUCCCUGCUGCAGCUAAACAGAUUGAUAGCAGUGUAAGUGGUGGGGCAAAUGUUCAAUCUAAAAAAAGGCGUAACUACACUAAGGUACAAAUGCUUUUUGUUCUCCAUAUGGGUUUUGUUUUUAUUUUAUUUUUAUCUUUUGGUGUUCACUAUAUCAUGUUGAAAUGAAAUAUUAAGUAAUGUGCCUCCCUGUGUGACCUUUGCUUUUGAAACCCCAAAAUAUUUGCAGAUAAGCAUGUUUCCUAAAAGGUGUUUUUCUGUCUGAUCUUUUAUUGUCUUCUCAUUUGAGGAUAGUAGCAGUGUGUAUAUAUUCUUUUUAUUUUCAUAUUUAAUUUUUUUUUUUUUUGUUGUUGUCAUAUCAUACCCCAAACUGAAGCACAGAUUACCAAAAUCAUCCCUCUGUCAUGGGUACAUGUCAGCAGUGUACACAGUAAUGCACUGUCGCAGGUAAAGGUGUUUUUAUUUUGGGCAUGGCUUUGACAUGGCUCUGUAGAAAAUUAAGAUUUGAAGGUCCAAAGUUUUAGUCCAAUGCCGCUUGAUUUUAAAAAAGGGCCCCCCAAGUAGCUGAAUGGAAGGUACUUAACUUCAGGGUCUUGUCACCUUUCUUUGAGACACUCAGGAAUUUUUUAAUAUAAGCAUACUGCAUAGUCUACACUCAGACCUGUGGCAGUGCAUUGAUGCAUCAAUGUAAAACAUUUUCUUCAAAUGUUGAACAAAUUAUUGACAGGAGUUCUUUCCAAACAGCAGAGGUGACUGUCAUUAAUUUAGAGCUGUAGUUUUAGGAAGGGGGGAAAAAAGAACUAAGCCAUUGUAAAUUGCAUAAGCAAUGUGGAAGGGAGUCCCACGAGCCCCAAGUCCUAUGCAAUACCUUGGCGCAUGGAAACAUUGAAGAGAAUAUGGAGAAAUGUCCUUUAGUUACUUUUGCAUGUGGAUCGCUUUUGAGUGAGGAACACAUGGGACAGAAAAAACAAACUUAUGGAAUGUCUCUAAAAAUACAGCAUGCAAACAUCACACUCCAUCUUUUUUAGUUGGAUUAUUAUGGGUAAAAAAAAUAAACUUACGAGUGAGGUUAAAGUGAUUGAAAGAAUGCUAUGACUGUGUGUGUGUGUGUGUGUGUGUGAAACUGUCAGUGAAUGUGUGCAAGAAAUCACAAAAAACACUUACUUGGGAGUUCUGUAUUUAACUCUUCCAUUUUGAUAGGCUGUGUUUGAAACAAAACGUGACGAGUAAACGCAUUCAGAGAGGGUUUAUGUGUUCGGAGAGACUUCUUACAAGCAAACUUUCAACUGCGCUGUGUUCUGAACAGCAUAUCCAGCACAGAAAACCCAAGUUUUCCUCGUCUGUUCAUUCCCAAGUAGAUGAUGCUCCUUUGCCCUCCCUCUUCUCUAUGUUCCUGAACCCUAUGUAUCCUGCGUAGCUGUGUUCUUAUUUCAUGUUCACCCUGAGUAAAUUAUUUUUGUUUCAUUGUGGAUUUUCUUAACACAUAAUAAAGGAUUAAACCAA
ensembl:lncRNA